UUUUUUUUUUUUUUUAAGAAAGAAUGGCAUCAUGGCACAUGCCUUUAAUUCCCGAACUUGGGAGCCAGAGGCUGGCAGAUCUUUGUGAGUUCAAGGCCAGUCUAUAUAGUAAGUUCUAAAACAGCGAAAGCACAAGGUCAAGGUCAAGGCUAUCCUUGUUUACUGAGCAAGUUUGAGGCGGCCUGGACUAGUACCUAAGAUCUUGUCUCAAAAAGAGACACACACCAGAAAAAGAAGAAAGAAAAAGAAAGACUCGGUCCCUGAGGAUUAGUGCCUAACCCCUUGAGACAAUUAGUUGCCAGUCACCAACAUCUCUUGGCCCUCAAGCAUACUUUGUCUCCACCAUGAAUAUUAAUGUUUAUUCUUUUCUCAUUUGUGUGAUCUUUCGAUUUAGUUUGUGUUAAUUAAUCUCCCUAUAAAUGCCUAAGACAGAAUAAGGCUUGGUUGGCUUCUUAAAGGAGCCUCACCAGCUGUAAUCAAAUGCUUGCUUAAAUAUGCUCUUUUUGAUACCUAUGGAGAAAAAGGAAGUGGAUAAUGGUGUGAUUUGUAAAGGAAGUUGUAAGAGGGAGAAGAGGUGAUUAGUAAUUAGAGUGCAAAGACAUUGUUUCAGAUUGGUGCAGGCAUAAAGAUGAAAUAUGUAGAUUUUUUUUUUUUUUUUGAGACAGGGUUUCCCUGUAUAGCCCUGGCUGUCCUGGAACUCACUUUUUAGACCAGGCUGGCCUUGAACUCAGAAAUCCACCUGCCUCUGCCUCCCAAGUGCUGGGAUCAAAGGUGUGCGCCACCACGCCCAGCCGAAAUAUGUAGAUAAAAAAGGUGUUAUCUGCAAUAAAGAAGCAAAUUAGCUUCUAUUCCUUCAAUGUUGGUCUAACUUAUCAGACAAAUAUAAAGAAGUCUCCCAGUACUGUAAAAGACUUUCUGUUUCCAAAUAUCUUAAAAUGUUCCUCAAAGUAUCCAUUUUGCCCCAGCUCACAAAGCAGUUCAUUUUGGAAAGAUACCUGGGAGACUUAUGUUGUAGUUUUUGUCUUAGGUAAUCUUCUGCAGUUGACUUAAAUCUGUCAGGGUCUUGUAUCUCCCCCCCACCCCUUCCAAAAAAAAAAAAAAGGUAGUAUAGCUAACACUGACUGGCCUUAGGUCACUGUGUACCUAAGGAUGACCUUGACCCAAGUGCUAGAAUUCCAAGGAUGCCCCACCCCACCCCUGUCUACUGAGGGUUUGCCUAUGAAGUUGCAGAUGCCUUCCUGUUCAAUCUCUUAUUAUACUUUGUGUUUCAUGUGCUGACUCACUACUUCCUUAGGGCUUUGUUAGCAUCACCAUAUAGGACUGACUGGUAUCAGCAACAUAAGGUUUUCUAAUAUUUACUGCUUUUACAAGUAAGGAGCUAGAGCCAGCCUUAUUCCCAGUACUUAGAAGCAGAGGCAGCUGGAUAUCUGAGUUUGAGGCCAACCUGUUAUGCCUGGUCUAAAGAGACUCUGUCUUUAAAAAUAAAUAAAUAAAUAAAUAAAUAAAUAAAUAAAUAAAUAAAUAAAUAAAUAAAUAAACAAAACAAUAGAGUGGAGGUAUGUUUUCUUCUGUUUUAAACUUUGACACAAAGACUUGAAGGAAACAAAGAAUAGAAAUGUUAGUGGGUUUUGUUAUUUUUUGAAACAGGGUCCCAUGUACCUCAAGCUGGCCUCUAAGUUACUAUGUAACUGAUGCUGGUCCUGCAUUCAUGAGCCUUCUGCCUUUUCCUCCCAGUGCUGGCGUUACAGACUUGGACACAAUGCUGGAUUAAAUUGUUGAGCUGCUGCUGUGUUAGAUCCUAAGGGAUACUCAAAUAGAAAAUUCCUCCUGCUUUAAGAAUUUUGUGAGGCUUUUUUUGGGGUGGGGAAGGAGGGGGCAUCAGGAAAAAACUACUUGCAGUCACACUUCAGUAUAAGAAAUACCAUAAAAAGAUUGCAUGGCAUUGAAAUGAUUUUUAUCUUGUGUUUCCUGGUUUCUUUAACAUAGCUGAAUAUAUUCUAAGUACCAUUCCUAAUUAUCAGCCUGGUUAUAUUACGAAUUAUGAGAUGUGGUUCUGGAAGUGUAAGUAGAGGACCACCCAGCAUUCACAAAGCCUUUAGUUUGUCCCACAGCAUAACAUAGUGAUCCCAGCACUCAGGAGGAUCAGAAAUUCAUGGUCAUUUUUAGUUAUAUAGCAAGUUUGAGCCCUUUGGGACUACAUGAGACCCUUCUCAAGAGAAGAAAGG
rnacentral:lncRNA from 1 species